rnacentral:rRNA from 1 species
GAUGAACGCUGGCGGCGUGCCUAAUACAUGCAAGUCGAGCGAACGGACGAGAAGCUUGCUUCUCUGAUGAUAGCGGCGGACGGGUGAGUAACACGUGGAUAACCUACCUAUAAGACUGGGAUAACUUCGGGAAACCGUAGCUAAUACCGGAUAAUAUUUUGAACCGCAUGGUUCAAAAGUGAAAGACGGCCUUGCUGUCACUUAUAGAUGGAUCCGCGCUGCAUUAGCUAGUUGGUAAGGUAACGGCUUACCAAGGCAACGAUGCAUAGCCGACCUGAGAGGGUGAUCGGCCACACUGGAACUGAGACACGGUCCAGACUCCUACGGGAGGCAGCAGUAGGGAAUCUUCCGCGAUGGGCGAAAGCCUGACGGAGCAACGCCGCGUGAGUGAUGAAGGUCUUCGGAUCGUAAAACUCUGUUAUUAGGGAAGAACAUAUGUGUAAGUAACUGUGCACAUCUUGACGGUACCUAAUCAGAAAGCCACGGCUAACUACGUG